GUCUCACUGUUAAAGAAGAAAGCAGACAUGAGAGCUGGAAAAUGGAGCAGCUGUCUUGCUGUGCGAGGCAACAGGCACUCGGAAGAGGACACGGCGGAGCGGAGCAGAGCAAAGCAAAGAGAGGGAAACGCUGGGGUCGAGCGAGGAACAGCACCCAGGCCAGGACUGUUCUAAUUUGAUUUUCCAAUCCGUUGUUUCAGCUGAAUGUAUGGGGAGAAGAUGAGGCUUCCACGCUGGAAAUUGAAACUCGCAGAGGUCCCAGGCCAAGCUGAUCCCGGUGCACACACCUGAUGUCUGAGCACUUCGUGUCAUACAGGAGCAGAAGAUGUUAGUAGAACC